rnacentral:rRNA from 1 species
AAAACGACUCUGACAACGGAUAUCUCGGCUCUCGCAUCGAUGAAGAACGUAGCUAAAUGCGAUACUUGGUGUGAAUUGCAGAAUCCCGUGAACCAUCGAGUCUUUGAACGCAAGUUGCGCCCGAAGCCGUCAGGCCGAGGGCACGUCUGCCUGGGCGUCACGCAUCGCGUCGCCCCCC